ensembl:snoRNA small nucleolar RNA SNORD112
UGGACCCAAGAUAGGAAAGUGUCCAUGAACAAAGGGUCGUGAUUAAUCUGCUUCUUUGUAAAAUGCAGAGGUCCAUU